rnacentral:rRNA from 3 species
CGACCAUAGCAAGAGUGAACCACCUGAUCCCUUCCCGAACUCAGAAGUGAAACCUCUUAGCGCUGAUGGUAGUGUGGGGUUUCCCAUGUGAGAGUAAGUCAUCGCCAGCU